UUCCGGUUGAUCCUGCCGGAGGACAUUGCUAUUGGGAUUCGAUUUAGCCAUGCUAGUCGAACGAGUUCACACUCGUGGCACAUAGCUCAGUAACACGUGGCCAAGCUACCCUUCAGUCAGCAAUACCCUCGGGAAACUGAGGCUAAUAGCUGAUACGAAACAGACGCUGGAAUGCACUGUAUUCCAAAGACACCGCUGAAGGAUGCGGCUGCGGCCGAUUAGGUAGACGGUGGGGUAACGGCCCACCGUGCCAGUAAUCGGUACGGGUGAUGAGAGUCAGAGCCCGGAGACGGAAUCUGAGACAAGAUUCCGGGCCCUACGGGGCGCAGCAGGCGCGAAACCUUUACACUGCACGAAAGUGCGAUAGGGGAAUCCCAAGUGCGAGGGCAUAUUAGCCCUCGCUUUUGUUGACUCUAAGGCGGUCAACGAAUAAGAGCUGGGCAAGACCGGUGCCAGCCGCCGCGGU
rnacentral:rRNA from 1 species